rnacentral:rRNA from 1 species
UACGUAGGGGGCAAGCGUUGUCCGGAAUCAUUGGGCGUAAAGCGCGUGUAGGCGGCUUGGUAAGUCCGCUGUGAAAGUCGGGGGCUCAACCCUCGAAUGCCGGUGGAUACUGUCGGGCUAGAGUGCGGAAGAGGCGAGUGGAAUUCCUGGUGUAGCGGUGAAAUGCGCAGAUAUCAGGAGGAACAUCAAUUGCGAAGGCAGCUCGCUGGGACGUAACUGACGCUGAGACGCGAAAGCGUGGGGAGCAAACAGG